UACGUAGGGUGCGAGCGUUAAUCGGAAUUACUGGGCGUAAAGCGUGCGUAGGCGGUCCGCGAAGUCUGAUGUGAAAGCCCCGGGCUCAACCUGGGAACUGCAUUGGAAACUAACGGGCUCGAGUGUGGCAGAGGGGGGUGGAAUUCCACGUGUAGCAGUGAAAUGCGUAGAGAUGUGGAGGAACACCGAUGGCGAAGGCAGCCCCCUGGGCUAACACUGACGCUCAGGCACGAAAGCGUGGGGGAGCAAACAGG
rnacentral:rRNA from 1 species